rnacentral:rRNA from 1 species
UACAGAGGUCUCAAGCGUUGUUCGGAUUCAUUGGGCGUAAAGGUGCGUAGGUGGCAUGGUAAGUCGGAUGUGAAAUCCCGGGGCUCAACCCCGGAACUGCAUUCGAUACUGCUGCGCUAGAGUACUGGAGAGGAGAUUGGAAUUUACGGUGUAGCAGUGAAAUGCGUAGAUAUCCGGAAGAACACCGAUGGCGAAGGCAACCACCUCGGGCCUGCAUUGACGCUGAGGUACGAAAGCGUGGGGAGCAAACAGG